UGCUGUUAAAAAGCUCGUAGUGGGAUCAAGAGUCGGACAGUGCAAGGUGGUCCCAUUUGCGUGUGUGGCUCCGGUUUCAAUCGCGGUGGCGGAUCAACCCCUUGCGCCAAACUGUCCGCUCUAACAGGCCGCAACGGUUCCCUGUGAGUACGACCCUUCACGGGGUUCGAAAGCGCCUACGCAUCCACCAUAUGCAUACGGGACGUCGGCCAAUGAUACUGUGAACAAACCAUCGUAUCCAAAGCAGGCCUCCGCCUGAAUGUUCGAGCAUGGAAUAACAAGGGAUCGAUUCUCUCGAUUCUUUUUGUUGGUUUAACCCGAGAAGGAGUAAUUCAGGUCACGGUGUCUGAGUUGGGUACCCCUACUCUUCGGGGUAGGCCCCAAUUAGGCCGUGGCCUUACGGGUUCAAUAGGGACUGACGGGGCCGUACGUACUUCCGCGUCAGAGGUGAAAUUCUUAGAUCAC
rnacentral:rRNA from 1 species